AGGCGCAAGGAUUGGUGGGUUCUGUAGUUUAUAGAAAUCUGCUCCCUCAUCAAACCCACGUACAAAUUCCACGUUAGCGCCGUAGUUCUUGAGGGAAGAAAGUUGGAAAAUUGAAUUACCUCCCAGAGCGUACGCUAGGGAGAUGGGUCGACUUGAUGGAAAAGUGAUUGUACUCUCUGCAGCAGCACAAGGCAUUGGGCGAGCAUGUGCAAUUGCAUUUGGAAAGGAAGGUGCCAGGGUUAUUGCUACUGAUAUAAAUGAAGAGAAACUAAAGGAAUUGGAGCAAUAUUCUGAUUGAGACAUUAUAGUCUGUGCUGAAUCAUUUACCAUCCCAUGAUACUUGAGCUGAACAGUCACUGAGAUUCUUGAAAGAAAUUACAGUCCUUAUUAGCAAACAAUCCACGUUCGUUCCAGCCUCCAAAUGGUUUAUGCCCCGUUAUUCUAAGUGGUAACCUGAAGUGACUGCUGUUGGAUGCUCCUGUUAGUUUCCAGACAGGUUGCCAAAUCCUCGAGAUUCCAGGAUGGAUCUCCUGGAAUCCUGAGAUUUCUGCAAGAUGUGUCUCUUCAAUUCAAGACUGCUGGACUGAGUCUGCCUUAGGCAGUGUGAGGGAAUCAACAAAGGGACACAUCCUACUUGGCCUCAUCCUCCCCAGUCUUCUUGUAGGUGCAUGUGUCUGGGACAAUACUGACUAUCUUAUAGUGUUCGUGGAGGCAAAAUCCCAGCUUCAGCCGUGGUUACUCUUUGUUGUGUUCUGUGGCACUGUUACAACUCUGUAUGAGACUGAACUCAUGAAGAUAAAACAUCAGAAGGUUGGGAAUCUACGGAGUGCUUUGGGCCCUCAUCAGCAGCAGAUUUGUACUCAACACAUUCCAUAACUUCAUGACUUGGCGCAUCCCCCAUUCUACCAUUACAUUCCAACCAGGGAACAACCUUGUUUCAAUGACAAAUACAGGACAGCAUGCUGGGAACAACAUCAGACACACACAAAAAUGAGAUGUCAAACUGUUGGAACUACAAGCAAAACUACUUGCAUGCAAAGUUAAAAAUCACACAACACCAGGUUAUAGUCCAACAGGUUUAAUUGGAAGUACACUAGCUUUC